UACAGAGGGUGCAAGCGUUGUUCGGAAUUAUUGGGCGUAAAGGGCGCGUAGGCGGUGCGGUAAGUCUGUAGUGAAAUCUCUGGGCUCAACUCAGAGUCUGCUGCAGAAACUGCCGUGCUUGAGUGUGGGAGAGGUGAGUGGAAUUCCCGGUGUAGCGGUGAAAUGCGCAGAUAUCGGGAGGAACACCGAUGGCGAAGGCAGGUCUCUGGGCAUUAACUGACGCGUGAGGAGGCGAAAGCAUGGGGAGCGAACAGG
rnacentral:rRNA from 1 species